rnacentral:rRNA from 1 species
UACGAGGGGGGCGAGCGUUGUUCGGAAUUAUUGGGCGUAAAGGGUGCGUAGGCGGCCUGACAAGUCUGAUGUGAAAUCCCUGGGCUAACCCAGGGCCUGCAUCGGAAACUGUCGGGCUUGAGUAUGGGAGAGGUGAGUGGAAUUUCCGGUGUAGCGGUGAAAUGCGUAGAUAUCGGAAGGAACACCUGUGGCGAAAGCGGCUCACUGGACCAUUACUGACGCUGAGGCACGAAAGCUAGGGGAGCAAACAGG